UGAGUAACCUGCCCUUAACUCUGGGAUAAGCCUGGGAAACUGGGUCUAAUACCGGAUAUGACUCCUCAUCGCAUGGUGGGGGGUGGAAAGCUUUAUUGUGGUUUUGGAUGGACUCGCGGCCUAUCAGCUUGUUGGUGAGGUAAUGGCUCACCAAGGCGAUGACGGGUAGCCGGCCUGAGAGGGUGACCGGCCACACUGGGACUGAGACACGGCCCAGACUCCUACGGGAGGCAG
rnacentral:rRNA from 1 species